UAUUCAUGUUUUAUGUAUUUGUUUUAUUUGUUUUUUUUAUUGUAAUUAUGUUUAUACAUUUUGGUUAUACAUUUGAGUACAUAAGUGUUCAUACAUGUAAAUAGGUUUGAGCUGCACUCAAGUACAAAAAAUAAAAAAUGUAUUUGUAUAGCAUUUUUACUGACUUUGACAGCUUUACUGAAAUUCGGUUUCACACCCCAAGUGAGGAAACCAAGGGCGACAGCAGGAAGAAAACUGCCUGAGAGCAAGAGGAACACACCUUAAGUUCCCACAUUUUGACAAAUAUACUUUUUUAAUAGCAAAACAUUUUAAAUUCUUAUUGAUCUGGAAUUUUAUACAGGGAGACAGCACUGUGGAACGGCUCCUCUUGGUUUAAAUGAUAUUGUACUUUCAUUGGCUAGAAAUACAGCUUUAUCCUGUUACCCUGCAUCUAUAUAUUUUUAUUUUAGUUUAGUUUUUACUUUUAUUGCUAGCAGGGCCCUGUUAGAGAUGAGAAACUGAAUGAAAAGCACUUUAAGGGUAGAAGUCACAAAGCCAACAGACUCACAGGUGUUUGCUUAUAUUUUCAUUUUCUGCUUAUAUUUUCAUUUCCUCUCAUUUUCAUUUUUCUUUUCACACUAGAUGUUCUUCCAUUUGACCUAUUUUGCUUUCGCAAACAGUACAGUGCAGUCAUCCUUACACAUGAGUUCUCUCUCUCUCCUUUAACAAACAGUUGUCUGUGUGCAGUCUCCAGGGCAGCACAGAUCAUUAAUCAUUGUUGCUGAACUUACAGCGGUUAAACCGGCAUUCCCACCACACUGGGAUUCCAGGCCUGGAGAAGUGCUCACCUCAGGUGGCAUGGAGAGGAUCCACAUCAGCUCCAUGCAGACAGUCCACCAGUGUCCCACAAAGAACCUGUAUUCCAUCAAGGCAGAGGUGUCAGAUCAACCCUUUUUCUCCAGGAAGACGGCCCAUCUGCUUGUUAAGUUCUUUGUUGUCUCAGGACUAGACCACUGCAGUUCGUGCUUGAUUGGACAUCCUGUGCUUGCCAUCAGGGCUUUGUGGCUGACUCAGAAUGCAGUAGCAUGUCUUGACAUCAAUCUUCUGAAGUUUACCCAUGUUACUUUUCUGCUCCUCCCUUCCUGUCUUCCUUCCUGGCCUACAACAGAUUCAAAACCUUGACACUUGUCAACAAAGCC